CUGUUGUGAGCAUUCCCAAUGGUCCUUCUGCACUUGCAGUUAAGGAAGCAGCCUGGGGUCUUGCUCGCUAUGCUGCCAUUUCUCAGGUAAGCUGGCAUGUAUAUAGGAAACAGAAACACACAAAUCUGAAAGAAUUUCAGUUAGAGUUCAAGUUUUGUGCAGGUUAAAUUUAUCUACAAUAGUAGGUAACGUGCUAUAAUAGAUGAAAUUGCGCUAAUGUUGUAAAUAAUUUUAAGAAAUCAGUGUAUAUAAGUUAAACUCUAUGUUAUUCUAAGCUUUUAAAGCGAAUAAUGGUUAAAGUUUUUUUUAUUCUUGUAGGACAAUGGGUUGGUACCCAUCGUUGAGCCAGAGAUCUUACUUGAUGGAGAACACAACAUUGACAGGACCUUUGAAGUCGCCAAGAAGGUGUGGGCUGAAGUGUUCUUCUACCUCGCCGAGAACAAUGUCAUGUUUGAAGGUAUCCUCUUGAAGCCCAGUAUGGUCACCCCUGGAGCAGAGUGCAAGGAAAGGGCCACCCCGCAGCAAGUUGCUGAUUACACCCUCAACCUCCUCCGCCAAAGAAUCCCUCCUGCCGUCCCAGGAAUCAUGGCAAGUAUUAUCUACUCUUCUGUUAUUAUCCAACACAUCAAGUUGCUGACUACACCCUCAACCUCCUCCGCCAAAGAAUUCCUCCUGCCGUCCCAGGAAUCAUGGCAAGUAUUAUCUGCAUUUCUAUUAUAUCAAACAUCUUUCCGUAAUUCCAAGAACUUGACUAUUAAUCUUUUACAUGGUUUGUUCUACACAGUUUUUGUCUGGUGGACAAUCUGAAGUUGAGGCAACUCUUAACUUGAACGCCAUGAACCAAGGUCCCAACCCAUGGCACGUGUCCUUCUCAUAUGCCA
rnacentral:lncRNA from 1 species